GCCGAGGUCGCAUAAUCCGGUAUUGCGCCAGACUGGAAAUCUGGUUCGUUUCGAACUGCGGGUUCAAAUCCCGUCUUCGGCG
rnacentral:tRNA from 1 species